rnacentral:lncRNA from 1 species
GAAUCCCUCUUGGCAGAACCUGACAGGACAAAGCAGAAAUGAGGUUUUCCCAGACUCACAAAGCAAAGCACAGAGGGUGAUAGUCUGCAUUCCUCCCUGAGCUUCAGCUUCUUCAACAAUGCAUUACAAGAUGGAAGACUUAGCUUCUUGGUUUGGAAGCUGCAUCA